AUUGAACGCUGGCGGCAGGCUUAACACAUGCAAGUCGAGCGGGGUGAUGGUGCUUGCACUAUCACUUAGCGGCGGACGGGUGAGUAAUGCUUAGGAAUCUGCCUAUUAGUGGGGGACAACAUCUCGAAAGGGAUGCUAAUACCGCAUACGUCCUACGGGAGAAAGCAGGGGAUCACUUGUGACCUUGCGCUAAUGGAUGAGCCUAAGUGGGAUUAGCUAGUUGGUGGGGUAAAGGCCUACCAAGGCGACGAUCUGUAGCGGGUCUGAGAGGAUGAUCCGCCACACUGGGACUGAGACACGGCCCAGAGUCCUACGGGAGGCAGCAGUGGGGAAUAUUGGACAAUGGGGGGAACCCUGAUCCAGUCAUGCCGCGUGUGUGAAGAAGGCCUUAUGGUUGUAAAGCACUUUAAGCGAGGAGGAGGCUCUUUUGGUUAAUACCCAAGAUGAGUGGACGUUACUCGCAGAAUAAGCACCGGCUAACUCUGUGCCAGCCGCCGCCGUAA
rnacentral:rRNA from 1 species